AACGCUAGCUACAGGCUUAACACAUGCAAGUCGAGGGGCAGCAUAAAAGUAGCAAUACUUUGGUGGCGACCGGCGCACGGGUGAGUAACGCGUAUGCAACCUACCUAUCAGAGGGGAAUAACCCGGCGAAAGUCGGACUAAUACCGCAUAAAACAGGGGCACCGCAUGGUGAUAUUUGUUAAAGAGAUUCGCUGAUAGAUGGGCAUGCGUUCCAUUAGGUAGUUGGUGAGGUAACGGCUCACCAAGCCGACGAUGGAUAGGGGAACUGAGAGAUUAGUCCCCCACACUGGUACUGAGACACGGACCAGACUCCUACGGGAGGCAGCAGUGAGGAAUAUUGGUCAAUGGGCGGGAGCCUGAACCAGCCAAGUCGCGUGAAGGAAGAAGGAUCUAUGGUUCGUAAACUUCUUUUGCAGGGGAAUAAAGUCCAGGACGUGUCCUGUUUUGUAUGUACCCUGAGAAUAAGGAUCGGCUAACUCCGUGCCAGCAGCCGCGGUAAUACGGAGGAUCCGAGCGCUAUCCGGAUUUAUUGGGUUUAAAGGGUGCGUAGGUGGUUUGAUAAGUCAGCGGUGAAAGUUUACGGCUCAACCGUGAAAUUGCAGUUGAUACUGUAUGUCUUGAGUGUACAAGAGGUGGGCGGAAUUCGUGGUGUAGCGGUGAAAUGCUUAGAUAUCACGAAGAACUCCGAUUG
rnacentral:rRNA from 1 species